AUGUGCAACUACCAGUGUUCCAUGAAGUGUGCGUUUCAGAGAAAUUUGUAUAUCCUCCUUGCGUAACAGAACGAACUGACCAGAAUGGACUCAGCUGACUCCAAAGGACUUCGGGACGCCCUAUCACUCCGGGGCGUGAUGAUCCAACAACCUCAGUAUCCCCUUAAACGUGAAGCUGUUGAAGACGGAGAGCCUCACAAUCUCUCACACGAUUGUUUGGCGGAAUUAGAACUCACCUGCACACCACGACCUGACCUCAGUGAUGUGCCCCUAUUCGAUCCAGAUCUGGAGCUCUACGUAGAUGGCUCUGCCUCUCGUGACUCUACUGGCAAAAAUAGGGUUGGUUUCGCUGUCGUCACUGCAGUUGAUGUGUUGUGUUCUGGUUCUCUUCCCUCUAACUAUUCUGCCCAAGGUGCAGAACUCUUUGCUCUGACUGAAGCGUGCCGCUCCGCCGCAGGUCAGGCUGUGAACAUUUACACCGACUCUCUUUACGCUUUCGGUGUUGUCCAUGAUUUUGGUGCGUUAUGGAAACAUAGAAAGUUUCUCAAAUCUGAUGGUAAGCCCAUUCUGAAUUCCAAAUUGGUUGCUGUGCUAAUAGAGAACAUUUUAUUGCACUCCUGAAUUGCUGUAUGCAAAUGUAUGCUCACACCCAGGGCAUUGACCCCAUUUCGCAAGGUAAUGCAUGUGCCGACGCCGCUGCUAAAUUGGCUGCUAUGAGAUCAGAUGUAUAUGGUUCACUCAGACAGCUCCCACCCAACUGCCCGCGCACGUUUUCGCGUCUCUAAACGACAUGCAAAAGCAUGUCAUGGACCGUGAAAAAGCUGUGUGGCGCUCCUGUGGUGCCUCUUUCACUCAAGACACAGGUGUGUGGAUGAGUCCCGAGGGUCUACCACGUCUCCCUAAACAUUUCUUUUCCCGUUAUGCUAAGUUGACACAUGGGUUAGACCAUGUGUCAAAAGGGGGAUGUUUGAUGCUGUUAAAACUUUUUGGUUCACCAAAGGUUUCACCAUGGCUGCAGAGAAGCACUGCCACGCAUGCGUUAUAUGUCUGACUCAAAACCUGCCUGUACGACCAAUGGCAUUGAGAGAAACAGAACAGUUCUGUGCAUUUUUAGCACUAACCGAUCCUGUGAAAGGAGGCAACUCCUGGUGGUUCGCAAAAGAGUCACUACCUGCACUAUGUGUGUUUAUGUCCAAUGCCACCCUUCGCACCACAAAUGCAUCUCAGCUAAAAACAAGUACGUUUGAAAUGUAUGCACCAGUAGCAAGCGUUCACCCUAGCUUCCUACAGAAUUUGACUCAUGUCCUAUGCAUAAUCCGUAGGAAGAGCCAUGUAGGCAUGUUUUUAGGGACUACAAAGAAUUGUCAACGGAUCCUAAACGGUACCUGUGGUCCCGGAAAAUUCAACAAAACAGUAUGUGUACUAGCUAAUAUCCCAAAUCGCAUAAACUCCUCUAUGGCGUUUCCCUCUGUCACACACACCUCAACAUUCCUAGCCUGGCCUUCUGAUGCCGGAGCAGGAGCCCCAUAAAAUUACGUCUGGCUAUGCGGAAAUAAAUUGUACCAGACUUUGGCACUAGUAUGGACUGGCACAUGCACUCUAGUAGAUCUGAUACCAGCGGUCACCAUUUUAGAUUCUUUAUUGUACACCAGUAUCCAGAAUACAACAGAAAUGAGCUUUGAUCACUUCUCCGGGAGAAAAAGGGUUCAGCGGUAUAUUUCCUUGGUGGGGUGUUAUAAAUAAUGCUCACAAUAUCGAUAAGACUCAUACCCGUUUAGAAAAUCUCACAUUCGAGGUUACACAGGGUUUCCAAGCAUUCACUCCAUUUAUGGUAGCAAGUAGAAACAUGUUGCUACAGCAUCAAAUGGGCCUUGACAUUUGCAAUAGAAGGACUAUUCUCCACAAAAACGGCUACUUUCUCAUGACUAGUCAUUAUGAAGUGCAUAUUAAAAUAAUUUUAUGAAUUAUAUGUGUGGAUGUCCAAGACUGUUAUGACUGUCCUUUUUUAGUUGAUCAAAUAUGAUCAAAAGGGGGGAAUGUGAUGGCAAUUAUGUUCAUGUACUUUUAUGUUCUUCUGUUACUCUGCAAAACAUUCACUCGUCCUUCACCAGAAAACUGCUAUGUGGGCAAGGAUGUGUUUUGUGUAUCCAACUGAUAUCUUGUUGUGAGACAAAAAGAACAUCUUGCUCAGGACAGAUGUCCCGAAGGCAACUAAUGCUUUGCGAGGUCACCUCAUGUGCGAUAUAUGAUGCAUGUUUUCUGUCUGUCUUCAGCACUCUCCAGCAGACUGUUUUCGCACUCUGUAUGACUUGCGAUUUCUGAGAUCUCAGAAUAAAGUGUCAAAG